UACGGAGGAGGCAAGCGUUGUUCGGAAUCACUGGGCUUAAAGCGUGUGUAGGCGGAAUGGAAGGUAUCAUAGUGAAAGCCCUCGGCUCAACCGAGGAAUUGCUGGGUAAACCACCAUUCUUGAGGCUAGCAGGGGUACCUGGAACUUUGGGUGGAGCGGUGAAAUGCGUAGAUAUCCAAGGGAACGCCGGCGGCGAAAGCGGGGUACUGGGCUGGUUCUGACGCUGAGACACGAAAGCGUGGGGAGCAAACAGG
rnacentral:rRNA from 1 species